rnacentral:rRNA from 1 species
GACGAACGCUGGCGGCGUGCUUAACACAUGCAAGUCGAACGGAAAGGCCCUGCUUUUGUGGGGUGCUCGAGUGGCGAACGGGUGAGUAACACGUGAGUAACCUGCCCUUGACUUUGGGAUAACUUCAGGAAACUGGGGCUAAUACCGGAUAGGAGCUCCUGCUGCAUGGUGGGGGUUGGAAAGUUUCGGCGGUUGGGGAUGGACUCGCGGCUUAUCAGCUUGUUGGUGGGGUAGUGGCUUACCAAGGCUUUGACGGGUAGCCGGCCUGAGAGGGUGACCGGCAACUUGGGGGAGGAGAUAGCGCACGGCCCCCAGCGGGAGGAGGAGGGGGGGAAUAUGGCAAAUGGGCGGAGAGCCGGAGGCAGCAACCCCGGGUGCGGGAGGAGGGCCUUGGGGUUGUAACCCGUUUUCGCCGGUAAAGAAGGGGGAGGGAGGGUAAGGGAUAGAGAAGCCCCGGAUAACUACGUC